AACGAACGCUGGCGGCAGGCCUAACACAUGCAAGCGAACGCCGUAGCAAUACGGAGUGGCAGACGGGUGAGUAACACGUGGGAACGUACCCUUCGGUUCGGGAUAACUCAGGGAAACUUGAGCUAAUACCGGAUACGUCCGAGAGGAGAAAGAUUUAUCGCCGAGGGAUCGGCCCGCGUCUGAUUAGCUUGUUGGUGAGGUAACGGCUCACCAAGGCGACGAUCAGUAGCUGGCUGAGAGGAUGAUCAGCCACAUUGGGACUGAGACACGGCCCAAACUCCUACGGGAGGCAGCAGUGGGGAAUAUUGGACAAUGGGCGCAAGCCUGAUCCAGCCAUGCCGCGUGAGUGAUGAAGGCCCUAGGGUUGUAAAGCUCUUUUACCCGGGAAGAUAAUGACUGUACCGGGAGAAUAAGCCCCGCUAACUUCGUGCCAGCAGCCGCCGUAC
rnacentral:rRNA from 1 species